AAAGUCGUAACAAGGUUUCCGUAGGUGAACCUGCGGAAGGAUCAUUAUUGAUUUCAAAAUGGGAUGUGCUGGUCUCCUUUCAAAGGGGGGACAUUUAAGUGCACUCCCAACCUUGAUCAUCCACCCUGUGCACAUUCAGUAGACGAGGAGAUCAUUCAAAUCACCUUGUCUACUUUUUUUAACACACUCAAUUUAUUAAUGGAUGGUGGUUUGAAAUAUUAAUACAACUUUCAACAAUGGAUCUCUUGGUUCUC
rnacentral:misc_RNA from 1 species